GUGCUUGCCUUGGCAGCACGUAUACUAAAACUGGAACAAUACAGCGAAGACAAGCACGGCCUCUGUGCAAGGAUGACACACA
rnacentral:snRNA from 1 species